rnacentral:ribozyme from 13 species
CCAAACAAAAAAAAAAAAAAAAAAAAAAAAAAAAAAAAAAAAAAAAAAA